GUAAAAACUUGCAUGGCAAAAGACUGGAAUAGAAAAUAAAACGGAAGUCUACUAGACUUUUCAUUCAAGAAUGUAAAAUUCACCAAAGGCUAAAAACCUGUAAGUUUGAGCCCAAAGUAUGUUUAACACUAGUGCUAUUAGGAUAGAAGAGAGCCACUGUAAACACAGUAAGUGAGAGCAGCAGACCUGACGAGGUUGGGAUGGAGCACAAUUAUUCCAAGCAGACUGGCUGGAACCAGAUCUAGGAAGCAGCAUACUGCUUCCCAAAAGUCAGUGCUGAGCACCAGUGAAGAGUGGGGACAAAAAUAUUGUCCAAGAUCUGUUUCUAACAACUAAUGAAACAGAUUUUUCUCUCUAUUGUCCAAAUGCCUCAGUACUAUAAAGCUCCUACCAUUACCAUCAAGAAACCUGGAUAUGCAAGUGGAAUUUAAACUGAACCACAGGAGAAAAUGACCCUCUUAGAUUUGGUAAAAAUAUUUAGAAUUAUGGUUUCUUUCAAAGCUGGAAAGCAGAUUUGCAGUAAAGGAUCUCCAAGCUGAAUGUAAGUCAAAAACAUUCCCCGGGGACAAAGGAGGCCAACGAUAUCCCAGCUGCAUUAGAAGUGUUGCCAGCAGGCCUCAGGAGGUGAUCCUGCCCCUCUUCUCAGCGCUAGCGAGGCCAGAUUUGGAGAGCUGUGUCCAGUGUUGGGCUCCCAAAUCCAUGAAAAACAUGGAGCUCCUGGAGUGGGUCCAGCAGAGUGCAAUAAAAAUGAUUAAGGGACUGAAGCGCCUGUCAUAUGAGGGAAGGCUGAAGGAGCUGGACCUGCUCAGCCUUGAGAAGAGAAGACUCGUGGGUAUCUUAUCAAUGUAUACAAACACCUGAGGGGAGGGCACAAAGAGGAUGGAGAUGGGCUCCUUUCAGAGGUGCCCAGUCAGAGGACCAGAGGACACGAGCACAAACUGAAACACAGGAGGUUCCAUUUGAAGAUCAGCAACUACUUUUUCACUGUGAGGAUGCCUGAGUGCUGGCACAGGUUGUCCAGAGAAGUUGUAGUAUCUCCAUACUUGGAGAGUUUCAAAGAUAUUUGGACAC